CCAGUCCCUGCUCUCCCUCCUCCACAGUAAAGAGCAGCUGUCUAUCUGUCUGCCCUCAUGUUAUAAUCAUGCAUCCCUGCUGCCAGGUGAGGUGGAGUACUUCAGGGUGUGUAGAGACCCUGAGAGGAUGGCAAAGGACCAGCAGGCAGGGCAGCCACCCAGACGUGUAGCCAGAGGGGGGGCAUGGAAACAAAGUCUCCAGGCUCCAGGAGAGGAUUUUCUCCCCCCUCCCACCACCACCACCUCGACACAGCUUGAAUGCAACUAGAACAGAAUGCAACACAAUCCGCAGACGGCACUUCCAAGGAGAUACACGCACCAGAUGGAUGCCUUCCUGGCCGGUCCGGGACCAGCAGACCGCAGCAUCAUCCAGCUGUCAAGUCAGCAAUAAGUGUUAAUUGUAGACUCACCCUGAGCAAAGGCCUCCAGCACGUCCCCUCCCACCCCUGCCAGGCAGUCCUGUGGUGUGUGAGU